rnacentral:rRNA from 1 species
GAAUUCACUAGUGANUGGAUCNCAGGCCUAACACAUGCAAGUCGAACGAGAUCCUUCGGGGUCUAGUGGCGCACGGGUGCGUAACGCGUGGGAAUCUGCCCUUUGCUUCGGAAUAACAGUUAGAAAUGACUGCUAAUACCGGAUGAUGUCGCAAGACCAAAGAUUUAUCGGCAAGGGAUGAGCCCGCGUAGGAUUAGGUAGUUGGUGGGGUAAAGGCUCACCAAGCCGACGAUCCUUAGCUGGUCUGAGAGGAUGAUCAGCCACACUGGGACUGAGACACGGCCCAGACUCCUACGGGAGGCAGCAGUGGGGAAUAUUGGACAAUGGGGGCAACCCUGAUCCAGCAAUGCCGCGUGAGUGAUGAAGGCCUUCGGGUCGUAAAGCUCUUUUACCCGGGAUGAUAAUGACAGUACCGGGAGAAUAAGCCCCGGCUAACUCCGUG